rnacentral:rRNA from 1 species
UGUUACUGCGAAGGGGGGACGGAGAAGGCUAUGUUAGCCGGGCGACGGUUGUCCCGGUUUAAGCAUGUAGGCUGGUUAUCCAGGCAAAUCCGGAUAACCAAGGCUGAGGUGUGAUGACGAGGCACUACGGUGCUGAAGUAACAAAUGCCCUGCUUCCAGGAAAAGCCUCUAAGCAUCAGGUAACAUCAAAUCGUACCCCAAACCGACACAGGUGGUCAGGUAGAGAAUACCAAGGCGCUUGAGAGAACUCGGGUGAAGGAACUAGGCAAAAUGGUGCCGUAACUUCGGGAGAAGGCACGCUGGUGUGUAGGUGAAGCCCCUGCGGGUGGAGCUGAGACCAGUCGAAGAUACCAGCUGGCUGCAACUGUUUAUUAAAAACACAGCACUGUGCAAACACGAAAGUGGACGUAUACGGUGUGACGCCUGCCCGGUGCCGGAAGGUUAAUUGAUGGGGUUAUCCGUAAGGAGAAGCUCUUGAUCGAAGCCCCGGUAAACGGCGGCCGUAACUAUAACGGUCCUAAGGUAGCGAAAUUCCUUGUCGGGUAAGUUCCGACCUGCACGAAUGGCGUAAUGAUGGCCAGGCUGUCUCCACCCGAGACUCAGUGAAAUUGAACUCGCUGUGAAGAUGCAGUGUACCCGCGGCAAGACGGAAAGACCCCGUGAACCUUUACUAUAGCUUGACACUGAACAUUGAGCCUUGAUGUGUAGGAUAGGUGGGAGGCUUUGAAGCGUGGACGCCAGUCUGCGUGGAGCCAACCUUGAAAUACCACCCUUUAAUGUUUGAUGUUCUAACGUUGGCCCCUUACCGGGGUUGCGGACAGUGUCUGGUGGGUAGUUUGACUGGGGCGGUCUCCUCCCAAAGCGUAACGGAGGAGCACGAAGGUUAGCUAAUCCUGGUCGGACAUCAGGAGGUUAGUGCAAUGGCAUAAGCUAGCUUGACUGCGAGCGUGACGGCGCGAGCAGGUGCGAAAGCAGGUCAUAGUGAUCCGGUGGUUCUGAAUGGAAGGGCCAUCGCUCAACGGAUAAAAGGUACUCCGGGGAUAACAGGCUGAUACCGCCCAAGAGUUCAUAUCGACGGCGGUGUUUGGCACCUCGAUGUCGGCUCAUCACAUCCUGGGGCUGAAGUAGGUCCCAAGGGUAUGGCUGUUCGCCAUUUAAAGUGGUACGCGAGCUGGGUUUAGAACGUCGUGAGACAGUUCGGUCCCUAUCUGCCGUGGGCGCUGGAGAAUUGAGGGGGGCUGCUCCUAGUACGAGAGGACCGGAGUGGACGCAUCACUGGUGUUCGGGUUGUCAUGCCAAUGGCACUGCCCGGUAGCUAAAUGCGGAAGAGAUAAGUGCUGAAAGCAUCUAAGCACGAAACUUGCCCCGAGAUGAGUUCUCCCUGAGACUUUAAGUCUCCUGAAGGAACGUUGAAGACGACGACGUUGAUAGGCCGGGUGUGUAAGCGCAGCGAUGCGUUGAGCUAACCGGUACUAAUGAACCGUGAGGCUUAACCUUACAACGCCGAAG